rnacentral:lncRNA from 1 species
GACGCGUCCCGGGUCCUCGCGCGCCGGUCGAGAGGGAGGGCCGCGCGCUGAGCCUGGUGAGCCCGGCUCAGGUCUGGGAGCCACCGAGCCCGCUGGCCUCGGCCGCCGUGGCCGCGCCGCGCCUCCGUCUACUGUCGGCCGCGCCUCCCGACUGCUGCUGCAUCCCCGCGGGCCGCGCAGCUCCAGCCGCCCGCCCCCAUCGGCGCCUGAGCGCGGCUGCUCCCCGCGCGGCCCCCGCGCUCUAGGCAACUUUGUGCGUCGUCCGUGCGGCGGGCGGGCGCGGCGGGCCAGACACGGGUCCCCGGCGGGCGCGAGGCCGAGAGCGGAGCGCGCAGCCCCGCCAAGCGUCUGCUGAACGGCGACCGCCUCCUCUUCCCCGCCUCUUCCUUCUCCUGCGCCUCGGCGGCCGCCGGAGCCACUCUUCAGGGAGGAAGCGGCCUCCGGGGCUUGUUGCUUUGUGCUGCAACCAUGGUGAGGAGUGAGUGACGGGCCGGGGGCCAGUCGGAGGCCGCCGCAUCAUCGGGGGCGGAGCGCCCCGUGGCGCCGGCCCGCCCCAUCGCUGGCCUGGCGGGGCCGCGCCCUCGCUGAGAGCCGCGUUCUGCCGGGGCCAGGUGCGGUGGGAGCCAGGACAGCCGGGGCUGUUGCGAUCGUUGAUCCCAUAGCUGAGCGGCCGCACCCCGACUCUCUGGCCUAGACCCCACAUCCCAGGCCUUGCGGCACGUCUCCCGCCUCUUCCCGGGCUGGAAGCUGACCCCACCCGGGAGAGGUCCCUGUGAGGACUCGGCUGCAGUGGCAGGUCUUCCCAAAGCUUAGGGCUGACUGGGAUUUUGCUUCGGUGGCAACAUUAACCAUCCUUGGAUUCUGUUUAUUUGUAGUGACUGCAAGGACAACGUUGCUCUCCUACCUUCCGCGCUCACUGACAUCUAAACCCUUAAAUGACUCCUGCGUUAGUCAGCAACUGCUUCCUGCUUUAUCUGAAGUCCUAGAGCAGCAACUUGAAUUCUCCAGGCUAAACCUCCACUUCAAAAGCAAAAUAACAGAAAAAGAGAAUUUUAAACCCAAUGAUCUGCAAAAUACAUAUACCCGACAUUCCCCAUUUGGAGUCUAUGCGACAUUUCAGAGUGUGUGUGUACAAAUCUGGUUCCACUUUUCUUGUCCCAAACAUCCCCCAUCCACAGCCUUAAAUGUCCCAAUUAAUAAGACACCAUUAUCACCAUCCAGGUUCCCCAGGGUUCAUCCUAGUAUCUUCUUAAUUUCUUUCUCCUCUAUGCAACAAAGUUUGGUACAGCCUUCUACCUCAACUUUCAAAGUUCUAAUAGAUGUGUAUUCCAGUCCCUACCACCUUUCCUACAGUGAUCAUGGUCCAAAGCACUACAACCCUCUGAUUGCAUUUUUCUAUAGUUAUAUCCCUAGUACCCUUUUUCUUUCUUUCCUUCUUCCUUUCUUUCUUCCUUUCUUUCUUUCUUUCUUUCUUCCUUCCCUCCUUUCUUGUUUCUUUGUUUCUUGUUUAUUUGUUAGUUUGUUUUCCUCUGAGUAGCCCAUUCUCAUGACAGCAGCCGGUGUAAAUGUGCUCCCGUGAGUCACUGCUUAUCUUCCAUGACAUUCAUCCCACAAGCCUAGAACUCUGUGGCCUCAAUGACCCCUGAACCUAGUCCUCCAACCUGUGACCUCUUCUGACCUACUCUCAUAUCCACUAUGUUCCCUACUCAGUUCCUCAGGCACACGAGCUUCCAUGCUGUUUCUAAAGAAAUAAAGCAAAUGUGGAUCUCCUGGCCUUCCAUCUGCUGUUCCUUCUACUGCUGUGUUGGCUCUACCUUUCCCCUUCCACCCACGGAAGAAAAAGAAAACAUAUGUAACAGAUGGAAUGCUGCUUUCCACCUCCUUUGCUCUUCUCUCAUCUUUAUUCAAAUAUCAUCUUCCCCAUGGUUGCGUAGCCUACCUUCCUGGCUUUAUUUAACACCUAACCUGCAUAUUGUAUUUUACUCAUUUUGUAUUUUCUUACUCCACUGUAAUGUCAGCUGUGCACGUCAAUGAUUUUUAUUUUGUUGACCUCUAUACCAACUAGUAUUAUUGGAUGGAUACUCGAAUUACUCAAAUACCUUAUAGUUGUAUGAUAUAUAUUAUUAUCACACCUAUAUGGUGGGAAAAAGGAAGUUGCAAGAGGACACACAAGCCCACUAAGCCUGUCUUCUGUCCUACAGAAAGAAUGCAUUUACUUCGUGCUGAAGAUUUGCAAGUAUCAAAUACAACACAUGCAAAGAUGUUGCACAGUGCUUGAGCCAUAGUAUGAACUCAACAAAUAGUUGUUAUUUUUAAGAUCAUAUUCGUCAUCCCCACCCUUUGAGGUUUGUGGACAGUUAUUAUCAUCCUGUUUACAGAUGGGGAAACUGGCAAUAAAGUGGGCUGUGUGAUUUGCCCUA